UAGAGACGUGUGGGGAAAAAGAUGGGGUGUGCUAGUGGUGAGCUGCAUAGGGAACAAUGUAAAAGAGGGUGCAGGUCCUUUUGAAGAAUUGGAAAAGCGGGAAUUUACAUUAAAUCAAAAGGAACUAUGUGCCAAAAUAUGCAAACUCAUGAGCCUUGGGCAUGGGACAAAGGCCUGGUGGACAAGGCUCAUAAGUUAAAGCGAAAGCGGGACGAGCGCGGCGACGCGACGGUUGCAUCGCCGCUGACGUCACAAGCGCCUAAUUAUCCCCAUUCACUCUUGCGGCCCUCAUGUGACGAGCACACCCCAUAUUUCCCGCCGCACAUAAUUAUGUAGUUCUGUUUCGUAUAAAUACGUCCACUGGGCAACAAUGUGGCACCAUUUUCAGAUAUCAGCUGAUAAGCGGUAAUAAUGCAUGAUUCGAAUUUUGCACAGUAACCUAUAAGUCAAAAUAAACGCACGAAACUUUCACGAUUUUAAGAAAACUGGUUUCCAAAGUGAAGUGGUGGUAGUUAUUGUAAGUGAGUGUCAUCGGUGCUGUGCGCAAAACGAGCUGCAGAGAUGGACAAUUAUUACUUUCUGAGUGGUUUCUAAGGACUGUUCUAUUUUAUGUAUUGUAUUGAAAAUCUUUAGCUACCAAAAUGUGUCUGAUCUUACACUCGUGGUUUGGAAAGGACCUUGGAGAUGGUGUCAUGCUCGGUUCUGUCCUUGGCAUUUUGCUGACUUUUUUCAAGAGUGGUUUUUUUGGCCUCUUGUACUAUCUCACGGUGGACAAACAUACUUUUUGGGAUAGAGAACUAGCUUCACCUUCACCGCUGACAUAUUUCAUAUACGAUUUGGUUAUUCUCCUGGCGUUCAUCCUGAUUUUCAUCGGAGGCAAAAAAUGCAGCUCCGCGCUGCUGGUGACCGGUCUCAUCUGUCUGAUUGUGGGAUUUGUAGCCCAAUUUCUGUCCCUGACCGUCCACAUUGCUGCGUGGAUCGCCAAAGGUCAACAGUUGCAGCAUGGAGCCGCCAACCAUCACCCGACGUUUUUCAUCAAAGGACGACUGAGAUGCCGUUUCUCUUCUCAGAGGAACCAACUAUGAGGACAACGCUGACCGUCACGGCACUGUUCAUUUUAACCGCGAUGUACCUAAUUUACACUUUCUACUUUAUUAUGACGGUUACUUCGUACACUGCUCACAUCGGAGAGGUCAGAGUGCGGUGAUAACCGGUUCAAAUAGAUUGUGAUUCUGGAAAUCAGGAUCUCGAGAGAGCGAUCUUCACAAGACUCCCAACAUGGCAGGACGAGAACACUGAGUCGGCGCAGUGAACGAACCGCGCGCCUUCAAUUGAGGCGUCAUGCAAUCUGACCUACGCAGGAGUUCGAAUAGUUGCCGCUCUGGGUUUGACCGAACUAUCCGCUGGGAUCUUCCGUGGACUCAACUGUGCAAGAUACAAAACUCUUCGCGAGAAACGUAGGCGAUGGAGCCUUUUAUUAGUUGGCACCACGUUCCUUGAAUUUGGAAAGAUUUUUAUAGCAUGGGUAACCGGCUAACCGAAGGAGAAAAACGACCAUUGGAGAAGAAUAAGCCUCAUUAAACUAUUCGUCGUUCUUUUCAUACGCUUUUCGCGAUAUUUACUUCGGAAAAUGUAUCAAUCUCUAUUAGUGUAAAAUAAAAUUAGCUACGCUGGACAAACAAAUAAAAAAAGGAAACUGAACUGCUACCAAAAUUGUGCACUAUAAAGAACUGAAGCUGCGCUUAAAAUAUUUAAGGAUUAAAUUGGCAAUGUCCAGGUGUAAAAACAAAAACAAAAGAUGAAAAAUCGGAGAAUAUUUUUUGUGCCAGUCGGAAUAAGAUGCACAAUUUUGGCAGUAAUGCGAAGCACUUGGUCAAUCCCUGUCAAGAUGAUUUUAAUUAGUAGUAAAAAGAAAAGCGAUCUGUGAGAGAAUGAAAGGAAGGCUGAUGCUGGCUUCACAUGUUCUUCUAAUUAACAGAAGGUCUUAAACAUAAUGUGAAAUUAAAUUUGGAAGAAAUUCAUUGAAAAGCAAAAAAUGGGGGAAAUUAAGGUCAGUGUGCUAGAUGAAAACAGAAUUAAAGUGUCUAAAAACAAAACCACUUUGUGUUCUUGGGCUGGAGUAUUCCGAAAGAGAUUUACGUAAUAGCCGUUGAGACUCUGGGACCUCAUUUCCGAAAAUUUGGCUAAUUUAGUACAUCAAGGCACCGCAUUUAGAGACAAGUCUGUUAACAAUCGAAAUCUCUAACCAGAAUAAAAUCAAUCAGAGGAAAAACAAGUAAAAAAUUUGGAAGAACAUUUCUGCAUUGGGUUUAAUCCCGUGUUAAUUUUAGGGAAACAAUUCGGAAAGACAGAAAAAAAUUGAGCAGAUGAAAGUAAUUGCAUUGUUUUGUACCGAUGUUGCUAUGUACGUUGAUGUAAGUAAUUAAACUAUAGUGUUUUUACUUCAUGUUUUUGCUCCGUUGAAACAUUAAUAAAACAAAGCAAAUCAUGUACAAUCAUUUUAAGCACAUAUUGUUUAUUACCGAACACGAUGCA
rnacentral:lncRNA from 1 species